UACGUAGGGUGCAAGCGUUGUCCGGAAUUAUUGGGCGUAAAGAGCUCGUAGGCGGUUUGUUGCGUCGGCUGUGAAAUCCCGAGGCUCAACCUCGGGUCUGCAGUCGAUACGAGCAAACUAGAGUGUUGCAGGGGAGACUGGAAUUCCUGGUGUAGCGGUGAAAUGCGCAGAUAUCAGGAGGAACACCGGUGGCGAAGGCGGGUCUCUGGGCAACAACUGACGCUGGAGAACACGAAAGCCGUGGGUAGCAAACAGG
rnacentral:rRNA from 1 species